rnacentral:lncRNA from 1 species
AUGGGGCAAGUCUCUUGCUUCGGUGGUGUUGGUGGUGGCUUCACGAUUGGUGGUGUUGGUGGUGGCUUCACGAUUGGUGGUGUUGGUUUUACUGGAGGAGGAGGGCAUGGCGUUUCAGGCUUUGGUGGCUUCACGGCUGGUGGUUUUGGUGGAGGCUUGACUUUGGGAGGUUUUGCUGGUGGCUUAGGUUUGGGUGGGGAAGGGCAAGAGGGACAGGCAAGUGAAGUAAGCAAAGCACCCAAGCUCAAAAGAAGAAUCAAGAGAUUAGCCACAGCAAACUUAGCCAUCGUGUCUACUUACUUGACUGAGUUCUCAAGU